rnacentral:rRNA from 1 species
AACGCUAGCUACAGGCUUAACACAUGCAAGUCGAGGGGUAACAUGAGAGUAGCAAUACUUUUGAUGACGACCGGCGCACUGGUGAGUAACACGUAUGCAACCUGCCCUUGUCAGGGGGAUAAUCCAGGGAAACUUGGUCUAAUACCGCAUAACACCUUUUCGGGCAUCCGGAGAGGUUGAAAGAUCCGUUGGACGAGGAUGGGCAUGCGCAGCAUUAGCUGGUUGGUGGGGUAACGGCCCACCAAGGCGACGAUGCUUAGGGGUUCUGAGAGGAAGGUCCCCCACACUGGUACUGAGACACGGACCAGACUCCUACGGGAGGCAGCAGUGAGGAAUAUUGGUCAAUGGCCGCAGGGCUGAACCAGCCAAGUCGCGUGAGGGAAGACUGCCCUAUGGGUUGUAAACCUCUUUUGCCGGGGAGUAACGAUGCGGACGCGUCCGCAGUUGAGAGUACCCGGAGAAAAAGCAUCGGCUAACUCCGUGCCAGCAGCCGCGGUAAUACGGAGGAUGCGAGCGUUAUCCGGAUUUAUUGGGUUUAAAGGGUGCGCAGGCGGUUAAUCAAGUCAGUGGUCAAAUGUACACGCUCAACGUGUGCCUGCCAUUGAAACUGGUUUGACUGGAGUAUUACGGACGUUGGCGGAAUGCGUGGUGUAGCGGUGAAAUGCAUAGAUAUCACGCAGAACUCCGAUUGCGAAGGCAGCCGACGACGUGAUCACUGACGCUCAUGCACGAAAGCGUGGGUAUCGAACAGGAUUAGAUACCCUGGUAGUCCACGCGGUAAACGAUGAUGACUAGUUAUGCGGCACGUUUGAGUGCUGCGUGACCGAGCGAAAGCGUUAAGUCAUCCACCUGGGGAGUACGCCGGCAACGGUGAAACUCAAAGGAAUUGACGGGGGCCCGCACAAGCGGAGGAACAUGUGGUUUAAUUCGAUGAUACGCGAGGAACCUUACCCGGGCUCAAACGGCACUGGACAGCGGUUGAAAGGCCGCCUCCCUUCGGGGCUGGUGUCGAGGUGCUGCAUGGUUGUCGUCAGCUCGUGCCGUGAGGUGUCGGCUUAAGUGC